GCUUACGACCACACCGGCCUGAGUACGCCUGAUCUCGUCUGAUCUCUGAAAGCUAAGCAGGGUUGGGCCUGUUUAGUUCUUGGAUGGGGAGACCGCCUGGGAAUACCAGGUGCUGUAAGCU
rnacentral:rRNA from 1 species